GAUGAACGCUGGCGGCGUGCCUAAUACAUGCAAGUCGAGCGAACAGAUGAGGAGCUUGCUCCUCUGACGUUAGCGGCGGACGGGUGAGUAACACGUGGAUAACCUACCUAUAAGACUGGGAUAACUUCGGGAAACCGGAGCUAAUACCGGAUAAUAUAUUGAACCGCAUUGUUCAAUAGUGAAAGACGGUUUUGCUGUCACUUAUAGAUUGAUCCGCGCCGCAUUAGCUAGUUGGUAAUGUAACGGCUUACCAAGGCAACGAUGCGUAGCCGACCUGAGAGGGUGAUCGGACACACUGGAACUGAGACACGGUACAGACUACUACGGGAGGAAGCAGAAGGGAAUAUUACGCAAUGGGCGAAAGCAUGACGGAGAAAAGCCGAGUGAGUGAUGAAGGUCUUAGGAUCGUAAAACUCUGUUAUUAGGGAAGAACAAAUGUGUAAGUAAAUAUGAACGUAUUGACGGUAACUAAUCAGAAAGCAACGGCUAACUACGUG
rnacentral:rRNA from 1 species